rnacentral:lncRNA from 1 species
AUAAACAUUUUCAAUGUUUCUAAUACAUUGUUUCUUUUUAGGUAAAACAAUUAUCAUUAAUUGGGGGUAAAAAUCUAGCUGAUACAAUUAAAAAUAUUUUGCUCUUAAGCUGCUUUAAAGUCAAAUAAAAACUUAAUCAAAAUGGAUACCAUCCAACUUAUU